rnacentral:lncRNA from 1 species
UACAUUUGAACCAAGAGUUGUUAGUCUUGAUGCCAAACAAUUCAGUCCUUUUUUGUAUGGCCAAUAUGUUUUCUUUCCUCUGUGGUUCAAAUUUCAUUCCUUUAUGGAUUCCAACAAUACCUUUAUCUUUUGGUUCUAAACUAUACCUUUUGUCACUUUUACCAAAUCUUUCGUUUCUUUCCAUAUUAAUUUUUUCUCUUUCCUUCCAUUCACUUUCCAUUAUUCACUAUUCACUACCUCCAUUCAAUAUCUUCUACCUUCAUUCACCCAUGUGAUAUACUGUUCUCUUUGAGCCAAAUACGCUAUUUGUUUGAGCUCCAUACAUAAUAUGGGAAAAUAACCAGUGUCCAUCCUCUGAACCAAUACCCCCAUUUAUCUUUGGCUUGAUGCCAG